ACCCCACUCCCCACUCCAUUCCCCACAUGCCGAAUCCUCCUGGCCGGCGACCUGGAGACCCGAGUGAGGCGGAGGCCGACCGCGGGCAGCUCGCCGACGCGAAGCACUAGCCGUUGUUCUUCGGAUCCGCGCCGCCCGGCUCGAGCUGCCGUCGUGGGUGGAGGCCGUGGGCCGCGGCGGCCGCUGAGCAGCCUUCAUCUUCCCUUCCCGAGCUGGCCGACCUCAACGCCAUCGGAAUCCGCCGUCGGCGAGCUGACCGUCCCCGCCGCCAUCAGAGGCCUCCGCCUCGGGCUGCUCCACCCUCUCGAUGCGGCUGCCAUUGCGAGAAGAGCCCCUUUCAGCUCCGGUGGUGAUCCCCUUUGCCGCUGUGGGAGAGGAGUCUCCUCGGCUCCGGCGGCGAUCCAACAAGCGGCAACCAUGGCGGGGUUGCAGCUGCGCGCGACGCUGCUCGCGACGGCCGGCGACAUCGCGGCUUCCGUCCUAGAGCUCCCUCUCCGCCGUUUCGCCUUACACAAGCGUGACGCGGAGGUUCUGGCAUGGCUUCCUGCAUCAACAGCUGAUGGCCAUCCAUGGCCCAGUGCCCUCCGUCGGGGGAGCUGUUGGUGCUCGCGUAGGCGGCAUGCUAGAGGAUGAGUUGCGGCUCGGACAAGAUCUGGGGAGGUCGGCGGCUUACUCUUCCAUUUUCCCCCACGAUCGAGCCAACAGGAACUGCUACUGCUGCUCCUGUGGAAAAAGGCCGGACCUGGUUGGUGGGGGCGUUCGGGCUGGGGCGUUCUCCUCCCGAACGAGUCGUACUCGUUCGAUCGAUUACCCUCCCGUCCGAACGUCUUGGGUCCUCCCAGACCGAACGGUCGCGCGUUAUCGGGGUCCAAAUAAAAACACGGAAAUGGGCCGGCCCAGUGCGCCGCGGGGGUGUGCGGGCUGAGGUUAGAUGAGCUGGCCCAUAGUGCGUGCGCGUGAGCGCCAGCGCCGAUUAGGACCUCCCGUUUUUGUCGCUGAUCGAUUCUGUUUCGCAGCGUGGACUGGCACAGCGCAUGUUCGUUCUCCUUGGGCAGUUUCCUGGAUCAAUGUGCCCGAAAUGCCCCUGGCUCCCGCGCCUCCCCUUCCAAGAUGCUUCCUUUUCCCCUUCAAAAGACGACGAGUGCACCACAGGCGCACAGCCUUGCAUCCUCGUCAUCUUCGCCUGGACCCCUCUCUCUCUCUCUCUCUCUCUCUCUCUCUCUCUCUCUCUCUCUCGGGAUCGCUCCACGCCACCUCCAUUUCCUAGAGCGAGGGAUCCCCCGAGUAGAAUUGUGAAGCUGCAGAUCGAGAAGUGAGCCAUGGCGAAGAUCAAGCCGAGAGCACUGCUGGCACAGAGCAAGCAGAAGAAGAGCCCUACUAAAAUCGGCCCAACAAUGUUUGCCUUUAUCGUCGUCGGUGCCCUAGUGGUGUCCUCACUCUACGCAUACAAGUACUGGAUGAGCAAUGGACCAGCUGGAGCAGAAAGUGUUGCUGGGAACUAAGCCCGAGCAAGUGUGGAAUGAUUGAGUUUUGUUGUUGUAUGUAUCAUCUUGUUGGCUAAUUUCCGUUGUUGUACUCCAGUAAAUGGAACGUAGACAGAUUUUUUGCCAUGUUUAGUUCUUCUUACCCCCAUGGUACAUUGUAUUAAUAUACUUGCUAUGUCACAUUCUUUUCAUUAUUGCUAUGUCACAUUCUUUUCAUUA